AUAUCUUCUGGAGAACGAAAAUCUGGAGGUGAGAUCAUUGCUGAUUUGAAUUGUAAAUUUUUUAUGAAAAUUUUGUGGUAAUCAAAUCUAAUGGCGAAAAUUCAUAGACAGAGUCACUCACAGAGAUAU